UACAGAGGGGGCAAGCGUUGUUCGGAAUUACUGGGCGUAAAGGGCGCGUAGGCGGCCAUCUAAGUCAGACGUGAAAUCCCCCGGCUUAACCUGGGAACUGCGUCUGAUACUGGAAGGCUUGAGUAUGGGAGAGGGAUGUAGAAUUCCAGGUGUAGCGGUGAAAUGCGUAGAUAUCUGGAGGAAUACCGGUGGCGAAGGCGGCAUCCUGGACCAUUACUGACGCUGAGGCGCGAAAGCUAGGGGAGCAAACAGG
rnacentral:rRNA from 1 species